CCCGCACUUCCACUGAUCGAAGAAAUCUGACCCAAAAAUUGAACUGAGAAUUCCUCCGACCGCUGCUCGAUCUCGCCGAUGGAUCUCUCCGACGCCGCCUCGGUCUCAGGUUCUGCUAAGUCUGUGGCAGUUGUCGGCAGCGGUGUUAGUGGGCUUGCCGCUGCAUAUAGACUCAAGUCAAACGGUGUGAGAGUCACUGUUUUUGAAGCGGAAGGAAGAGCUGGUGGGAAAAUAAGAAGCAAUUCACUGGAUGGUCUUAUAUGGGAUGAAGGGGCAAAUACUAUGACGGAAAGUGAAACAGAGGUUGGAAGAUUGAUUGAUGACCUUGGCCUUCGAGAGAAGCAACAAUUUCCUAUUUCUCAGACCAAGCGAUAUGUUGUGAAGAAUGGAGAACCACAGCUGAUUCCAUCAAAUCCUGUUGCAUUGAUCAAGAGUAAUAUCCUUUCUGCACAAUCGAAGUUAAAGAUAAUUCUGGAGCCCUUCACAUGCAGGCAAUAUAGAAGAAAGGACUCAAAGGUGUCAGGUGAAGAUGUAAAGGAAAGUGUGGGAGAGUUUUUUGGUCGUCAUUUUGGAAGAGAGGUUGUCGACUAUCUCAUUGAUCCUUUUGUAGCCGGUAGCAGCGCUGGUGAUCCUGAAUCAUUAUCUAUGCGCUAUGCAUUUCCCGAUUUAUGGAAUCUAGAAAAGAAGUUUGGUUCAAUCAUUAUUGGGGCUAUCCGAUCUAGAACAUCUGCGAAAUCCAAAGAUACUGCACCAGGAAAAACUCCAGCUUCUUUGCAAAAGAAAAAGCAACGAGGUUCAUUUUCCUUUCAAGGUGGAAUGCAGGCACUAACUAACAUGCUAUGUGCGAAACUUGAUAAGGAUAGUAUGAAGCUAGAUUCAAAGGUGCUGUCAUUAUCUUAUGAUCUUGAUGGGAGAUAUCCAUCUAAGAGUUGGUCAAUUUCUUAUAGUGGAAAAGGUGGCAGUGAAUUGGACCUGGACCAAUCUUUUGAUGCUAUCAUAAUGACGGCCCCGCUUCGUAAUGUCCAAGAGAUGAAAUUCACCAACAGAGGAAAUCCUUUUGUGCUUGACUUUUUUCCAAAGAUCAAUUAUCUGCCAUUAUCAGUCCUGAUCACAUCAUACAAAAAAGAAGACGUCAAGAGACCGCUGGAGGGAUUUGGAGUUCUAGUGCCUACCAAGGAGCAGGAAAAUGGUCUUAAGACUCUUGGCACUCUUUUUUCAUCGAUGAUGUUUCCAGACCGAGCUCCUAAGGAUCAAUACCUGUACACGACCUUUGUUGGGGGGAGUCGCAAUCGUGAGCUAGCUAGCGCUUCUUUGGAUAAGCUGGAAGAAGUUGUGACUUCUGACCUUAGGAAACUGUUAGGUGCAGAGGGACCACCAACAUUUGUAAAGCAUAUCUACUGGAGGAAUGCUUUUCCUUUGUAUGGUCGUGACUAUGGUCUAGUUAUGGAAGCCAUAGACAAAAUGGAGAAAAAUCUUCCAGGGUUUUACUAUGCAGGAAACCAUAGAGAUGGACUAUCUGUUGGCAAAGCAAUAUUAUCAGGACUCAGAGCAGCUGAUCAAGUAAUGUAUUAUCUCAAUUCUGAGGAGAAAGACGACGCGUCAUGAGACAUGAUUUAUCAUCUGUGUGCCAAAACUCUUGUCAAACUGCACUUUAAGUAGGGCGCUGCCUCCUUAGUCCCCGGCCUACUGAGGCCCAUUUCGGAAGAAGAGAUGCAUAUCAUGAAAAGGAUAUCAAUGUGAUCCUCAACCUAUAUUCCCUAGAUGCUAGAUGCCAACCGUGAUAUGCAAUUUUUUUUGUAAAGUCUAUUUGUGGUGUAGAUAAUCUAAAAGUCUAUUUGUGUGUAUAAAUAUAUGUUUGGAAAAUUGAUCUGU